GAUGAACGCUGGCGGCGUGCCUAAUACAUGCGAGUCGAGCGAACAGACGAGGAGCUUGCUCCUCUGACGUUAGCGGCGGACGGGUGAGUAACACGUGGAUAACCUACCUAUAAGACUGGGAUAACUUCGGGAAACCGGAGCUAAUACCGGAUGAUAUAUUGAACCGCAUGGUUCAAUAGUGAAAGACGGUUUUGCUGUCACUUAUAGAUGGAUCCGCGCCGCAUUAGCUAGUUGGUAAGGUAACGGCUUACCAAGGCAACGAUGCGUAGCCGACCUGAGAGGGUGAUCGGCCACACUGGAACUGAGACACGGUCCAGACUCCUACGGGAGGCAGCAGUAGGGAAUCUUCCGCAAUGGGCGAAAGCUUGACGGAGCAACGCCGCGUGAGUGAUGAAGGUCUUCGGAUCGUAAAACUCUGUUAUUAGGGAAGAACAAAUGUGUAAGUAACUAUGCACGUCUUGACGGUACCUAAUCAGAAAGCCACGGCUAACUACGUG
rnacentral:rRNA from 1 species